CGCCUGGUUGCUGCCUAGCACGCCGUCAGAGACCGCUGUUCACUCACCACUGCUGCGUCGCCAUUGAUGAACCUGUUGCCGCCGCCGUGAGCCGCGAACAGAGGAGGGAGAAGGAGGCGAGUUCAUGAGGGAGAAGAAGCAGCGCUGCCACCUUGCUGCCAUACCUCCUUGCUGCCGUCGAGCUGUCUGCUGCCAUUGUUGCCAUUUUGCCGCAACUUUCCGCUGCCCGGUCCAAUUCCUCAUUUCAUUCUACAUCAGUCCUCCACACCCGUUAAUUUCGCACUUCAGGUUUGGUCUCUUCGGUCCCUUAGGACCACGUUGAAUAAAUGCUUGACUAUGUGAGACAUUCUAAUCAAGAGUCACGAUCUGCAAUGAGUAUCUAUUUUGUCGAAUUUCUAGAUGUAUAUGCUCCAUAUGUCACAGGCAGGAUCCAA